rnacentral:tRNA from 2 species
UCUAUUUUGGCAGAAAAGUGCAAUGGAUUUAGAAUCCAUAUAUGUGAGUUGUGACUUGCAGGUAGAA